UUUACCACGCAGACGGUUAAUCAGGGAAUCCCGGUAGGUGCAGCGGGGAGGAUUCGAGCCUGGCGGAGACCAGUGAGCCAGCCGCAUUCGGGUGAUGCACUGGUGUGCGAGCGCAUCGCGGCUUUAAUUAAGAAGAACCCUUCUGAGCGUCGCCGUGUAGGAGCCGAAAUUCUCUCCGCACAACGGGAGUGCAGAUCUACAGAAUGUUAUUAUAGGUAAAAGGCGGAAGAGUAGCAAGAGCAUUCAGAGAAACUGUAAUAUCACCACCACCAUCCACGUCGUCAACGCCACCGCCGCGAUAACAUCACACACUACCACUAUCGUCAUCGUCAGCACUGUCGCCGCGUAGCAGCAUGAGCCCGUCAAACGGUAUACCGCACAAGAUGAAGGAGAUAUGCGCCGGCUGUCAACAUCCGAUUGAGGACCGAUUUCUGAUGAAGGUGAUGGACGACACGUGGCACGAGACGUGCCUGCAAUGUAGCGUCUGCUGUGUCCCGCUCACCAAGUCCUGCUACAGCCGCGACCGCCGCCUCUA